UUUAACAAAUAAUUUACUUCUCCAGCAAACAUACGAACAACUCUAUUCAAAUAGAGGCAACUAUGCUAAAACUAUUAAUACGAGCAACAACUUUACCUGCGCACUCAUCACUCAAGUAGAAUAGAUAAUUAACAGACCAAAAAAGGACAAGUACAACCUAAUUAACAAACCCUAAAAAUACUGUGAGUCCAACUCAGGUGCGCAAAAGGUAUAAUUAAAAGUUAUAAAAGGAACUCGGCAAACACAAAUUCCAACUGUUUACCAAAAACAUAGCCUUUAGCUAAACAAAUAUUGAAGGUAAUGCCUGCCCAGUGAAAUCACUUUCAACGGCCGCGGUACCCUAACCGUGCAAAGGUAGCGUAAUCA
rnacentral:rRNA from 1 species